ACACGUGCAUGAAGGACGCAUCAAAAUUAUACUGUUGUAAAAUUUUAAAUAGUUAUGCGAAAUGUUCGCACGCCAGUCGUGCUAUAUUACAAAGCUACAGAAGAUAUGUCAAGUUGGUGUUAACUUUCCGCAAGGAGUUAUCAUCAAGCGGCAAAAAUUUGACAAAAGAGAAGCUGGCUUGUUUGUGAAAACAAAUAUUGAUAGGGCCUUGGAUCACUUUGAUGAUUUUUAUGGCACUUUUUAUGGAAACCUUUGGCCAUCUACCAGACUUGCAAUGUUGUCUGCGCCCAAGCACUGUGCUCUUGUUAACUACUAUGCCGAUUACGAAAAAACGAUAAAAAAAUUAAAGGAAAUGGGAUGUAUUGACAUUCAAGAGUUUUAUGAAGAAACCAGAUCCAAAAAAACAAGAAAAAGACGAACCCUAUCAAAUAGACCUACAGACUUGAUUGAAGAAGACAUUGGUGCUGGCACUGGUGACAAUGAAAAUGUGCAAGUGUUCACAGAUGAUAGAGUUGUUUCACCAGGUCAAGCAAGCUCAGCUCUUUUUAAUUUUGUCCCAACCACAAAAUUAAAAGGGAUGGAAGAUUGGUUGGAAGAAGAAGAUCAAUUCAAAUAUGUGAAACCAACACAGGACUUUGUGAUUGAAAAGCAAGUGGAUGAACACCUGGAUUUUCCCCCUCUGCUGAAAGCUUUUGUUUUUCCGCGUGGAGACAUCUCUCGCUUUCCUCCUCCAAAACGGAGCAGUCUUGGCACCUCUAACUAUUACUUGAUGGACGCUGCCUCCCUCCUUCCUGUGUUGGCAUUAAACCUUCAACCUACCGAAUCUGUGUUAGAUUUGUGCGCAGCUCCUGGUGGAAAGUCUUUGGCCAUUUUACAGACAGUGUAUCCAAACCUUCUUGUAUGUAACGACAUUACAAUUUCUCGAGUUGUUCGACUAAAGGAUGUUCUGAAGCAGUAUCUAGGACAAACGCAAUCCUGGAAGGAACACCUCGAAAUCCGGACUUCGAAUGCUAUCGAUUGGAAUGAAUUUGAAUCAUUUAACAAAGUCCUUGUAGACGUCCCUUGUACCAACGACAGGCAUUCAGUCAUGGAAAAUGACAACAAUUAUUUCAGAAAAGAUCGCAUGAAAGAACGGAUCAGCUUGCCUGAAACCCAAUCUGCUCUUCUCUGCGCCGGAGUUCGAGCGUGUAAGCCCGGUGGCACUAUCGUCUAUUCCACUUGUAGCCUUUCGCCCAUUCAGAAUGACGGUGUCGUUCAUAUGGCAAUAAAGCAACUAAAAGAAGUUUACAAUAUCGAUACGGUCGUCAAGGAUAUGUCGAUGACGGUCAAACAUUUCAAGUUCCUUUGCCGUUUUGCCCCAUCAUCCUCGCUCCGCUAUGGCCAAGUGGCGCUCCCGUCCAUAGUCAACAAUUUUGGACCCAUGUACAUAUCCAAGUUGCAGCGGGUCAAUUAACCUUCAUUGUCAUCUGAGGCCAUCUUGAUAACAUAACGGCCUGUCGACAGUUUCCCCUUUAGUGUUAUUACGAGAAACAUCGCCCUGCCUCCCAACGUGGAGACCAAACGUAAGCCUGAUUAGUAUACGAUGAUUUUUGGGACCAGCUUCGACCAUGUCCGACUUGACCGUGCCAGAACUUCAUUUGCACC